GGACAUAUCAUAACGAAGAGGUAUCGUAAUUGAAGAGGUUUGGAAAGACCCACCACAGAAGGUAAUAGUCCUGUAUGUUAAACGAGAAGACUUUAGAUAUGAUCCAGAGUACCACGGGACACGUGAAACCCUGUGGGAAGCAGGAGGGACCACCCUCCAAGGCUAAAUACUACCUAGUGACCGAUAGCGUAUAGUACCGUGAGGGAAAGGUGAAAAGAACCCCGGGAGGGGAGUGAAAUAGAACCUGAAACCCUGCACUUACAAGCUGUGGAAGCACAUUUCUUGUGUGACCGCGUACUUUUUGUAGAACGGGCCAACGAGUUACGUUAAGUAGCAAGGUUAAGCACUUAAGGUGCGGAGCCGUAGCGAAAGCGAGUUUUAACUGAGCGUUCAGUUACUUGACGUAGACCCGAAACCGGGCGACCUACCCAUGAGCAGGAUGAAGCGAAAGUAAAAUUUCGUGGAGGUCCGAACCCACGAGCGUUGAAAAGCUCGGGGAUGACUUGUGGGUAGCGGUGAAAUUCCAAUCGAGCCCGGAGAUAGCUGGUUCUCCCCGAAAUAGCUUUAGGGCUAGCCUCAAGGUGAGAGAUACGGAGGUAGAGCACUGAAUGUCCUAGGGGGUAUUGCACCUACCGAAGACUAUCAAACUCCGAAUGCCGUCAUCUUAUACUUGGGAGUCAGACUGUGGGUGAUAAGAUUCAUAGUCGAAAGGGCAACAGCCCAGAUCGUCAGCUAAGGUCCCUAAAUGUAAGUUAAGUGGUAAAGGAUGUGGGAUUGCACAGACAACCAGGAUGUUGGCUUAGAAGCAGCCACUCAUUCAAAGAGUGCGUAAUAGCUCACUGGUCGAGUGAUCCUGCGCCGAAGAUUUCCGGGGCUAAAACUUACUACCGAAGCUACGGCAUCAGUAAUGAUGGGUAGGGGAGCUUCCCAUACGGGUUGAAGCAUGACCGUAAGGACAUGUGGACAGUAUGGGAGUGAGAAUGUUGGCAUGAGUAGCGAGAUGUGGGUGAGAAUCCCACAGGCCGUAAACCCAAGGUUUCCAGGGGAAGGUUCGUCCGCCCUGGGUUAGUCGGGACCUAAGCUGAGGCCGAAAGGCGUAGGUGAUGGACAACAGGUUGAUAUUCCUGUAC
rnacentral:rRNA from 1 species